rnacentral:lncRNA from 1 species
CGGCUUAGUGUUUGAACCUAUGGAGUCACACACACAAGUCAGACACCGUAGGAAGUAUUGGCCUUUAUAUGUCUAAUAUGGAAGUACUUGACUUGAUUGAACAUAUAAGCUAACUUGAUUGAGAAUUAAAUUAUGGAUCAAACGGAAUUGAAGAGUUGACUAUAUCUAGCUAGCACUACACAUAAUAUUCAGGUUCGAUUUUGGGGAUGAACAGUUUCUGAUCU